rnacentral:rRNA from 1 species
GAUGAACGCUGGCGGCGUGCCUAAUACAUGCAAGUCGAGCGAACAGACGAGGAGCUUGCUCCUCUGACGUUAGCGGCGGAAGGGUGAGUAACACGUGGAUAACCUACCUAUAAGACUGGGAUAACUUCGGGAAACCGGAGCUAAUACCGGAUAAUAUAUUGAACCGCAUGGUUCAAUAGUGAAAGACGGUUUUGCUGUCACUUAUAGAUGGAUCCGCGCCGCAUUAGCUAGUUGGUAAGGUAACGGCUUACCAAGGCAACGAUGCGUAGCCGACCUGAGAGGGUGAUCGGCCACACUGGAACUGAGACACGGUCCAGACUCCUACGAGAGGCAGCAGUAGGGAAUCUUCCGCAAUGGGCGAAAGCUUGACGGAGCAACGCCGCGUGAGUGAUGAAGGUCUUCGGAUCGUAAAACUCUGUUAUUAGGGAAGAACAAAUGUGUAAGUAACUAUGCACGUCUUGACGGUACCUAAUCAGAAAGCCACGGCUAACUACGUG